rnacentral:rRNA from 1 species
AUUGAACGCUGGCGGCAGGCUUAACACAUGCAAGUCGAGCGGAGUGAUGGUGCUUGCACUAUCACUUAGCGGCGGACGGGUGAGUAAUGCUUAGGAAUCUGCCAUUUAGUGGGGGACAACAUUCCGAAAGGAAUGCUAAUACCGCAUACGUCCUACGGGAGAAAGCAGGGGAUCUUCGGACCUUGCGCUAAAUGAUGAGCCUAAGUCGGAUGAGCUAGUUGGUGGGGUAAAGGCCUACCAAGUCGACGAUCGGUAGCGGGUCUGAGAGGAUGAUCCACCACACUGGGACUGAGACACGGCCCAGACUCCUACGGGAGGCAGCAGUGGGGAAUAUUGGACAAUGGGCGGAAGCCUGAUCCAGCCAUGCCGCGUGUGUGAAGAAGGCCUUUUGGUUGUAAAGCACUUUAAGCGAGGAGGAGGCUACUAGUACUAAUACUACUGGAUAGUGGACGUUACUCGCAGAAUAAGCACCGGCUAACUCUGUGCCAGCCGCCGCGGUAAGAC